rnacentral:rRNA from 1 species
GACGAACGCUGGCGGCGUGCCUAAUACAUGCAAGUCGAACGCAGUGGGGACGGGUGAGUAACACGUGGGUAACCUCCCAUCAGAGGGGAUAACACUUGGCAACAGGUGCUAAACCGAUACUGCUGGAUGAACCCGCGGUGCAUUAGCUAGUUGGUGAGGUAACGGGUCACCAAGGCCACGAUGCAUAGACGACCUGGAAGGAUAAUAGGCAACACUGGGAGUGGGACACGGGGCAGACGACUACAGGCGGCUGCAGUGGGGAAUCUUCGGGAAUGGACGAAAGUAUGACCGAGCAACGCCGCGUGAGGGAAGAAGGUUUUCGGAUCGUAAAACUGUGUUGUUAGAGAGGCGGUAUCUAACCAGAAAGCCACGGCUAACUCCGUGCCAGCAGCCGCGGUAAUUC